GGACAGAUGCUCGAGUGGUUGAAGAGGCACGCCUGGAAAGCGUGUAUGCGUCAAAAGCGCAUCGGGGGUUCGAAUCCCUCUCUUUCCG
rnacentral:tRNA from 1 species